GCCGGGUUAGCUCAGUUGGCAGAGCACCUCUCUUGUAAAGAGGAUGUCGCCGGUUCGAUCCCGGCACCCGGCUCCA
rnacentral:tRNA from 1 species